UACGAAGGGGGCUAGCGUUGCUCGGAAUCACUGGGCGUAAAGGGUGCGUAGGCGGGUCUUUAAGUCAGGGGUGAAAUCCCGGAGCUCAACUUCGGAACUGCCUCUGAUACAGCACGUCUUGAGUCCGGAAGAGGUGGGUGGAAUUCCCAGUGUAGAGGUGAAAUUCGUAGAUAUUGGGAAGAACACCGAUGGCGAAGGCG
rnacentral:rRNA from 1 species